AUACGGAGGAUCCGAGCGUUAUCCGGAUUUAUUGGGUUUAAAGGGAGCGUAGGUGGGAUAUUAAGUCAGCUGUGAAAGUUUGGGGCUCAACCUUAAAAUUGCAGUUGAUACUGGUUUCCUUGAGUACGGUAUAGGUGGGCGGAAUUCGUGGUGUAGCGGUGAAAUGCUUAGAUAUCACGAAGAACUCCGAUCGCGAAGGCAGCUCACCGGGCCGGAACUGACACUGAUGCUCGAAAGUGCGGGUAUCAAACAGGAUUAGAUACCCUGGUAGUCCGCACAGUAAACGAUGAAUACUCGCUGUUUGCGAUACACUGUAAGCGGCCAAGCGAAAGCGUUAAGUAUUCCACCUGGGGAGUACGCCGGCAACGGUGAAACUCAAAUGAAUUGGCGGGG
rnacentral:rRNA from 1 species